UACAGAGGGUGCAAGCGUUAAUCGGAGUUACUGGGCGUAAAGGGCGCGUAGGCGGUUAUUUAAGUUGGAUGUGAAAUCCCUGGGCUUAACCUAGGAACUGCAUUCGAAACUGGGUAACUGGAGUACUGUAGAGGGUAGUGGAAUUUCCGGUGUAGCGGUGAAAUGCGUAGAGAUCGUAAGGAAGACCAGUGGCGAAGGCGGGUCUCUGGACAGUUCCUGACACUGAGGCGCGAAGGCCAGGGGAGCAAACGGG
rnacentral:rRNA from 1 species